rnacentral:lncRNA from 1 species
GGAUAUAUGAUUUUUACUUAUUGGGGGUAUAAAUAUGGGCCAAAGUGAUCCAUAUCCAAUCCAUUGUCGUCCCUAUGCAGCUAUUUAUUAGCCCAAGAUGGUGUUGGGAACAUAGGUUGUUCACUGAAUAAGGGGGCAAAUAUUAUGUAAUCGAAGAACAACUGUAGAUCUCCAGCUGGCGACUUUCGGUAUUUAAGGGCA